UACGGGGGGAGCAGGCGUUGUUCGGAUUUACUGGGCGUAAAGGGCGCGUAGGCGGUCGUGACAAGUCACUUGUGAAAUCUCCGGGCUUAACCCGGAGCGGUCAAGUGAUACUGUCGGACUAGAGUACAGAAGGGGCAACUGGAAUUCUCGGUGUAGCGGUGAAAUGCGUAGAUAUCAAGAGGAACACCUGAGGUGAAGACGGGUUGCUGGGCUGACACUGACGCUGAGGCGCGAAAGCUAGGGUAGCAAACGGG
rnacentral:rRNA from 1 species